CUUUCUUCUUCUUUGAGGCUAAUAAGCGACUUGUCGGCGUCCCAGAACAGAUAACUUACAGCAUUCUUUAGAUAAAACCGGUGUCAGUCAGGUCUGAACGGAAACAAAACCGGCUGAGGGUUACGUCACCUGAACGUGACUUCUGUGCGAAAGGCAAGAAAGAA